AGGACGACUCUCCCCCCAGCCGCCGCCGAGAGACGCAGGACGACUCUCCCCCCAUCCACCGCCGAGAGACGCAGGUCGACUCUCCCCCCAGCCACCGCCGAGAGAUGCAGGAUAACUCUCCCCAGCCGCCGCCGAGAGACGCAGGACGACUCUCCCCCCAGCAGCCACCGAGAGAUGCAGGUGGACUCUCUCCCCAGCCGCCGCCGAGAGACGCAGGUCGACUCUCCCCCCAGCCGCCGCCGAGAGAUGCAGGAUAACUCUCUCCCCAGCCGCCGCCGAGAGACGCAGGACGACUCUCCCCCCAGCCGCCGAGAGAGAGAGGACGGCUCUCCCCCCAGCCGCCACCGAGAGACGCAGGUUGACUUCCCCCAGCCUCCGCCGAGAGACGCAGGUCGGCUCCCCCAACCGCCUCCUAGAGAUGCAGGUCGGCUCCCCCAGCUUCCAUAGAGAAGCAAGUCGAAUUCCCCAGCUGCCACCAAGAAACAGGUCAAAAACACCCUAUCUCUCUGCUGGCACCCAGAGAAAUGCAGGUUGAAACCACCCUCUCUCUCUCUGCUGGUGCCCUGAGAGACAAAAGUCCUCUGCUAGUACCCUGAGAGAUGCAGGUUGAAACCACCCCCUCUGCUGGUGCCCAGAGGGACGCAGGUCAAUACUACCCUCUCUCUCUCUGCUGGUGCCGUGAGAGGUGAAAGUCCUCUGCUGGUACCCUGAGAGAUGCAGGUCGAAACCACCCUCUCUCUGCUGGAGCCCUGAGAGACUUAAGUCGAAGCCCUCCUUUGCUGGUAUCGCGAGAGAUGCAGGUCAAAAAAACACUAUUGGUGCCCUGAGAGAGGAACCUCCUCUGCAGGUAUCCUGAGAGUACCAGGUCAAAACUACCCCCUCUGCUGGUGCUCUUGAGAUGCAGUUUGAAGCCGCCCUCUACUGGUGCCCUGAGAG